AUGAGGCCUCCAAAUUUCCCUGGGCAGCCCCUUCCAAUGCCAGAACGCCCUUUCCACGAAGAAAUUCCUCCUGAAAUGCAACCCGAGUUUGGGACCACAUGCCCUUGUCCCAUCAAUGGCUGCUUGGGAGACCGACCCUCACCUGGUCUACAAAUCCCCGCAUUCCGCCCCUCGCGUUCCCCUCUGCGCUCCCGCUCCUGCCGCCCUGCUUCUCCUCAGCGCUGCCCCCGCUCCCCUCUGCGCUCCCGCUCCUGCCGCCCUGCUUCUCCUCAGCGCUGCCCCCGCUCCCCUCUGCGCUCCCGCUCCUGCCGCCCUGCUUCUCCUCAGCGCUGCCCCCGCUCCCCUCUGCGCUCCCGCUCCUGCCGCCCUGCUUCUCCUCAGCGCUGCCCCCGCUCCCCUCUGCGCUCCCGCUCCUGCCGCCCUGCUUCUCCUCAGCGCUGCCCCCGCUCCCCUCUGCGCUCCCGCUCCUGCCGCCCUGCUUCUCCUCAGCGCUGCCCCCGCUCCCCUCUGCGCUCCCGCUCCUGCCGCCCUGCUUCUCCUCAGCGCUGCCCCCGCUCCCCUCUGCGCUCCCGCUCCUGCCGCCCUGCUUCUCCUCAGCGCUGCCCCCGCUCCCCUCUGCGCUCCCGCUCCUGCCGCCCUGCUUCUCCUCAGCGCUGCCCCCGCUCCCCUCUGCGCUCCCGCUCCUGCCGCCCUGCUUCUCCUCAGCGCUGCCCCCGCUCCCCUCUGCGCUCCCGCUCCUGCCGCCCUGCUUCUCCUCAGCGCUGCCCCCGCUCCCCUCUGCGCUCCCGCUCCUGCCGCCCUGCUUCUCCUCAGCGCUGCCCCCGCUCCCCUCUGCGCUCCCGCUCCUGCCGCCCUGCUUCUCCUCAGCGCUGCCCCCGCUCCCCUCUGCGCUCCCGCUCCUGCCGCCCUGCUUCUCCUCAGCGCUGCCCCCGCUCCCCUCUGCGCUCCCGCUCCUGCCGCCCUGCUUCUCCUCAGCGCUGCCCCCGCUCCCCUCUGCGCUCCCGCUCCUGCCGCCCUGCUUCUCCUCAGCGCUGCCCCCGCUCCCCUCUGCGCUCCCGCUCCUGCCGCCCUGCUUCUCCUCAGCGCUGCCCCCGCUCCCCUCUGCGCUCCCGCUCCUGCCGCCCUGCUUCUCCUCAGCGCUGCCCCCGCUCCCCUCUGCGCUCCCGCUCCUGCCGCCCUGCUUCUCCUCAGCGCUGCCCCCGCUCCCCUCUGCGCUCCCGCUCCUGCCGCCCUGCUUCUCCUCAGCGCUGCCCCCGCUCCCCUCUGCGCUCCCGCUCCUGCCGCCCUGCUUCUCCUCAGCGCUGCCCCCGCUCCCCUCUGCGCUCCCGCUCCUGCCGCCCUGCUUCUCCUCAGCGCUGCCCCCGCUCCCCUCUGCGCUCCCGCUCCUGCCGCCCUGCUUCUCCUCAGCGCUGCCCCCGCUCCCCUCUGCGCUCCCGCUCCUGCCGCCCUGCUUCUCCUCAGCGCUGCCCCCGCUCCCCUCUGCGCUCCCGCUCCUGCCGCCCUGCUUCUCCUCAGCGCUGCCCCCGCUCCCCUCUGCGCUCCCGCUCCUGCCGCCCUGCUUCUCCUCAGCGCUGCCCCCGCUCCCCUCUGCGCUCCCGCUCCUGCCGCCCUGCUUCUCCUCAGCGCUGCCCCCGCUCCCCUCUGCGCUCCCGCUCCUGCCGCCCUGCUUCUCCUCAGCGCUGCCCCCGCUCCCCUCUGCGCUCCCGCUCCUGCCGCCCUGCUUCUCCUCAGCGCUGCCCCCGCUCCCCUCUGCGCUCCCGCUCCUGCCGCCCUCUGGUUCCACGCCGGUGUGGAGGGUGGGGGAGGCGGCAGGCCUCUAAAGAACGCCUUUAA
rnacentral:lncRNA from 1 species